UGCUAAUAAGCAAUGGUUACAUAAACACCACCCUUUACCGGAAACCUGCUGACCACUAUACUUACCUACACGCCUCUAGCUUUCAUCCAGAGCACACCACAUGAUCCAUUCUGUACAGCCAAGCUCUAGGAUACAACGGCAUUUGCUCCAACCCCUCAGACAGAGACAAACACCUACAAGAUCUCUAUCAAGCGUUCUUACAACUACAAUACCCACCUGCUGAAGUGAAGAAACAGAUUGACAGAGCCAGAAGGGUACCCAGAAGUCAC